GACGAGCGCUGGCGGCGUGCUUAACACAUGCAAGUCGAACGGAAAGGCCCCUUUGGGGGUACUCGAGUGGCGAACGGGUGAGUAACACGUGAGUAACCUGCCCUUGACUUCGGGAUAACUUCAGGAAACUGGGGCUAAUACCGGAUAGGAAUCCUUGCUGCAUGGUGGGGGUUGGAAAGCUUCGGCGGUUUUGGAUGGACUCGCGGCUUAUCAGCUUGUUGGUGGGGUAGUGGCUUACCAAGGCUUUGACGGGUAGCCGGCCUGAGAGGGCGACCGGCCACAUUGGGACUGAGAUACGGCCCAGACUCCUACGGGAGGCAGCAGUGGGGAAUAUUGCACAAUGGGCGGAAGCCUGAUGCAGCAACGCCGCGUGCGGGAUGACGGCCUUCGGGUUGGAAACCGCUUUCAGCAGGGGCGAAGCUUGUGGUGACGGUACCUGCAGAAGAAGCACCGGCUAACUACGUG
rnacentral:rRNA from 1 species